rnacentral:rRNA from 1 species
CCAAGGAAGGCAGCAGGCGCGCAAAUUACCCAAUCCCGAUACGGGGAGGUAGUGACAAUAAAUACUGAUACGGGGCUCUUUUGGGUCUCGUAAUUGGAAUGAGAACAAUUUAAAUCCCUUAACGAGGAACAAUUGGAGGGCAAGUCUGGUGCCAGCAGCCGCGGUAAUUCCAGCUCCAAUAGCGUAUAUUAAAGUUGUUGCAGUUAAAAAGCUCGUAGUUGAACCUUGGGUCUGGCUGGCCGGUCCGCCUCACCGCGAGUACUGGUCCGGCUGGACCUUUCCUUCUGGGGAACCCCAUGGCCUUCACUGGCUGUGGGGGGAACCAGGACUUUUACUGUGAAAAAAUUAGAGUGUUCAAAGCAGGCCUUUGCUCGAAUACAUUAGCAUGGAAUAAUAGAAUAGGACGUGCGGUUCUAUUUUGUUGGUUUCUAGGACCGCCGUAAUGAUUAAUAGGGAUAGUCGGGGGCGUCAGUAUUCAGCUGUCAGAGGUGAAAUUCUUGGAUUUGCUGAAGACUAACUACUGCGAAAGCAUUCGCCAAGGAUGUUUUCAUUAAUCAGGGAACGAAAGUUAGGGGAUCGAAGACGAUCAGAUACCGUCGUAGUCUUAACCAUAAACUAUGCCGACUAGGGAUCGGACGGGAUUCUAUGAUGACCCGUUCGGCACCUUACGAGAAAUCAAAGUUUUUGGGUUCUGGGGGGAGUAUGGUCGCAAGGCUGAAACUU